rnacentral:rRNA from 1 species
UACGUAGGGCGCAAGCGUUAUCCGGAAUUAUUGGGCGUAAAGAGCUCGUAGGCGGUCUGUCGCGUCGGCUGUGAAAACCCGGAGCUCAACUCCGGGCCUGCAGUCGAUACGGGCAAACUGGAGUGUUGCAGGGGAGACUGGAAUUCCUGGUGUAGCGGUGAAAUGCGCAGAUAUCAGGAGGAACACCAUGGCGAAGGCAGGCUCGCUGGGACGUUAACUGACGCUGAGACGACGAAGCGUGGGGAGCAAACAGG